rnacentral:rRNA from 1 species
UACGUAGGGGGCGAGCGUUGUCCGGAAUUACUGGGCGUAAAGCGCGCGUAGGUGGUCCGCCAAGUUCGGCGUGAAAUCUCCAGGCUCAACUUGGAGGGGUCGUCGAAGACUGACGGACUAGGGUCUGGCAGAGGCAGGUAGAAUUCCCGGUGGAGCGGUGAAAUGCGCAGAUAUCAGGAAGAACACCCGUGGCGAAAGCGGCUCUCUGGAACGGUACUGACGCUGAGACGCGAAAGCGUGGGGAGCGAACAGG